UACGGGGGGGAGCAAGCGUUGUUCGGAUUUACUGGGCGUAAAGGGCGCGUAGGCGGUCGUGACAAGUCACUUGUGAAAUCUCCGGGCUUAACUCGGAACGGUCAAGUGAUACUGUCGGACUAGAGUACAGAAGGGGGCAACUGGAAUUCUCGGUGUAGCGGUGAAAAUGCGUAGAUAUCGGGAAGAACACCGAUGGCGAAGGCAGCCAUCUGGACCGACACUGACGCUGAGGCGCGAAAAGCCAGGGAGCGAACGGG
rnacentral:rRNA from 1 species